rnacentral:tRNA from 1 species
AUUUUCUAAAUACCCCGUAUAUUCAAUUUCCAAUUGAAGAGUAAUGAAAAUA